CAAACAUGACCUGUGAUUUAAUAUAUAUUCUUUCCUUCAUGUCAGGCUUGGAGCCUCGUCAUUGGAUGACCUGCAACCCAGGUGCAUGAAGAUACACGUCAUUGGUAAGACUUCUACCAGGGAAGGCCUGUAGAGACACAGGUUCCCUAGGAGCAAAAAUAAAGCUACAGCUAGGGGAAAAACAGAACAAAAAUAUGUGCGGUCUGAAAUCUGGAUCAGGAAACAGGGGUAAUAGAGGUGUCUUAAACAAGAUGAUAGGUUUAACAAGAUCUGCAUUCUGAAGCAAAGUCACUUAAUCAAGAAUGCAAGCCAAAGGCCAAGUAGCCAGGAUCAGGAAAGGUAGGAAGUAGGAACUAAAAUGCUGGAAACCAUUACAAUAUGCAGUUAAAAAUUGCUGAGACCCUCUCCCUUCAGAUAUGUUUCCCUGCCCUUCUUCUUCCUUGAUGAUCCAACUCAGGAUUAAAGUGCAGUUGUAAUACAUGCCACAUACGCUCAUCACUGCUGUGUUGCAGUGCCAGGCAAACCAAAAUCACAGAUCCUGCAAUGAUUCUGCCAUCUGCAUAUCCCUUGCAUAGUUUUGUUAUAGGAGAGCCAUUACAGUUUUGUGAUAAAGUUAAACCUGACAACUGCAUUCACCUUCUGUUUCAAUAUCUCUAAGAGUGAUGAGCUUGAUAGCUAGAUCCCAAAAUGCAUAGUGUCUGCUUACUCUAGCCAAAGGUUGAGGUUGGCCCAAGAGGAAGGCUUCCAGCGGAUUGAACUUCUGGUACAGGUGCAUUAGAAUAACCAGCACUUUCACCAGGUUGCCAUGGGACUUUAUGGGGUGGGUCUGGGCUAGGGUAAAGGACUGAUUCAAGGGGUUUGAUAAACCACCAUCACAGGUCUCCAAGUGUGUUUGAUUUUCACAUUGUACAUACACCUGCAGUGUUAAUAUGAGUAGUACACAGAAUGACACAUACCCACAAACGUAGAGCCUUUACAAUCAUGAGAAAGGCAAAGGGUCAAAUAUAAUUAUAAUAAUAAUUUUUUUUUUUUAAAGUAACGUCUAAUUAUAUAUGUAUUUUGUUUCCAUCACUCAUUUUAACAUAUAAUGUUUUAUUCUUCUAUUCCAUUUAGUCCUUCAGAAAAGGUGUAUAUUGAAGGGACACUUCAGGACUUGUUGUUAUUAGACUUCAAAAUGCAGAUAGUCUAGUAAUAAGAAGUAUUCAAGAUUUUUUUGCAUGCUGGUAAUUUUGAAAAGUAAGGAAAACCAUGUAUUCUUUCUCUACCACCUUUACUCCUCUGCUUCUCUAACAUUAAGUUUGCAUUGUGUAAGAGACUUGUAAAUAUACUCAUUAGCUUUUAUUGGACAUUAAAGCUCAUUUUAAAUAAUAAUUGUUAUUUAGAUAAAACUCACCAGUAUAAAGCUUAUUUGACCACCAAGAAUCACAAUUCUUCACGAUUAGGUUAACAUUUUUCUAACAUGGAACAAGGUUAUGCAUUCUUAAAUUUUACCACUAGAUGUCACCUUACAACCAGGAAAAUCCAUCUUGAGCUACAGUCUCAAGAACAAUCCCUUAGCAAUGAUUACAAUGCAAAAAUGGGACACAUUGGUAAGUUUAAUAUGUUACUUUUAUUUAAUAGAUCUAUAAUUACGACCUCAUCAUUUUGGGAUAUUUUUUUCUUCAAUUUAAAGUUUCUUAACGUUUUGCAAUAUUAGAGUUUUCAUAAUGGCUGGUAAAAUAAUAGAAUCAUAAGCAAUAUUUGGGGGACACUCUAUAAUUUUCAAGAACAAAGAAAGAAGAGAUCCAGAGGGAUAAGCAUAACAGAGAAAAGAUAUAAAGAAAAGAAAAUGGGUGGGGGAGGGGGAUCAGACAUUAAAAUCGUCAUGGAAAUAAAAAGCAUGCAGGACAGUUGCUCUCAAAAGUACCAAAUCUCUGAAAAGUGCCUCAAGUGCUGUUAGCUUGUCCAUUUUCAGAACAUAAGAAACUGUGUGAUUUAUUUUCAUGUAGAGGGCAAAGAUGAAAUCCAGGGUAGGGACUCAUGAUGAAGAAUGCAGUUUAAAAAGGGUAUAUCGUAUUUUCUAAUUAAUACAACUAAAAUGGAUUAUGAUGGAUUAGGUUUGCCAGCUGUGCAUAGGAAAAUUCCCAUUAUGAUUGACUUAAAGGAAUGCUAAAAGUAAACUUUGAAUAUUAUUAUUAUUAUUAUUAUUAUUAUCCGUGUAUUAAUUUUUUAGAAAUAAUUCAAUAUUUAUUGUAAAAUAAAUUAUUUUUACAAAAAAUCUGAAUUUUUGCAAACACAUUGCCCACAAUUAAAAUGUUCUUCUUAUAUGUAUAACUCACAUUUUCUAUUUUGGGAUUAUGGUAAAAGACAUUUUAAAUAUUUUCCACUGCAUUAAACAACUUCCAGUACACUAGAGGUCAUCUCAAGCAUUUUGUGUUGUGAGAAAUGAUAUGUACUUCAGUUUAACAUGAGAAUUACAAACCUGACCAUCUGUCUUUAGCUAGGAAAAUUAAAAUACAAAAUCUAUUAUAUAAGUAUUAGCUUCCUUAAGACCUUUGCAUUGAAGUUUCAAUCCAUCUGAUAUAUACAUUAAUUUUUUUAAAUUAAAUUAUUCUUGUUUUAAAAUCUUUCACAUUUUAAACAUAAUGUCUUUCUAUUCUCCAUAUCUCAAUAAGUCUAUGCGCCAUGUUUCUAUAUCAAAACCUUUGCAUCUAACCAACAAGUUUAUAAAAGUCCAUAGACUGAUUUCAGACAAUAUUGUAAAUAUAAUGUGACGGCAGAAAAGAACCAUUUGGCCCAUCUAGUUUUGAUUUCCUACCCCUCCCAACCCAGUCUAUUUCCCGAAUUCUAACUGCCAUUACAAAUAUAUUAGUCUGUCUGUCUUUUCCCUAUUAUCUUGUCUUGGUACAUAUAAACUGUCUUGCUCUCUAGCUGCAGUGGUGAUUCAUGUAUAGAGGAACUUGUGGCAACACCCCUCCAAAUAAUUGUUGCUAUAAUAAUAAUAAAUAAAUAAGCAUGUAAAAAAUAUUCUGUUGCCAGUGCUAACAGUGUAUGUAACAGAGGAGGGCUAGUCCUUGGCAUGAGAACCAGACACGUCUUGACACCACUUUUGUCUAUAUUCUUCUCCCCAGUUGACUAGGUUCCAUACUAACAGGCCUGAAAACUGUUGCAGAGUCUACCAAUAGUAACAGAGCUGGGAGUUGCUUAAAACUUCAUCAGCCACCACUGGAUAAUGGACUAAUAUGGAGUUAAUUUCCUUAUAUAUUUCACUAUUGAGAUACUCAGUAAAACUCACCUAUUAAGAUCUAUCAAGUUUUAUAUUUUAUGUGAUGUAUCUUGCUUUGCAGAAAUUAUUGGAGCAAUGUAAGCAAUAUAUUAAUGUUAAAUAUUUGGAGAUGAAGCUUAGGCUAGUUUCACCGAGAUAUACUUAGCACAUAAGUAAUAAUCAUCUUUAUAUCAACAUGGUUGUAAAACUAACAAAACCUAUGCCCCAUUUUAGUUACUACUGGACAACUAAGAACUCGACAGUGCUUGCAAUUAAUUGUAAUUUUUACAUCGUUCAUAGUAGACUGGGCUGGUAAAAAGAUUCAAGUCUAUCAAUUUAACCUUGUAACAUAUAUGUGACUGUAAAAACUCAGUGAAAACAGCCACUGUAUGGACACAAUAUGUUGCUAAGUUGCAACCAAGCAUCAAAUGUUGGGAUCCUGCAUUAAAAUAAUUGUCAGACCAGUAGUUACUCAUGUGUCUGUCAAACAAUUACAUCACUUCCACUUUAGCUAUCUAUUCCUGAAGAUGUUCAACAGAGAGGUGAAUAAUAUCCUGUGAAGAUUUGUUGAGGAUUCCUUCACAUUUUGUCACUAAAGGGUACACUCGGACCACAGAACCACAAUCAAACAAUCAUAUAGAAGAAAACAUAGUGCACUCCAUUAAUGCAAUCCGUUUGUUGUGGCACACAUUUGAAAUAUUAGACAAUGCUUCAGUUAGCACUCUAUAUUAUCUAUAAUCCAUACAACAUUAAAUGUAUAGUGUAUUUUGAGAACAUGUGGUUUGUGGUUACCAUGGUUACAAACGGGUAAAUAAAAACACAUUGGUAUCUACAACAUAAGUGUAUACACAAAUAUAUGAUGUCAUUCACUCAAAAGCAAUCAUAAAAGUAAUAAUAAAAAAUAUACUUGGGAUCUACAUCCAAUAUACAUCAUAUAAAUUAUCAACUAUGUAUAGUACAAUACUCCCAAAUCAUUGGCAUUAAUAAACAAGCCAGCUAUAUGAUUAUGACUGACCUCGCUAUUCCAACAGUUUACUCUUGUAGGUCAGCUUAAACUGAUGAUUAAUUAAUCCUUGAAAGUUUUGAAAGUGUUUUUCUUAAAGUUUUACUCUUUAUGCUAAAAUCGUCCCACAAUGAUGUAUUAUUUACAUAAUCACUAUCCAAAAUACAUUUUCUCUCAAUCAUUAAUAAACAUCCCCUGUCUUUGUUCUCAUCCAACUGGGUGAUAUGUAUAUGCUCAAUAACAAAAAGCUGCUGUCUAAUAUAUUCUUUUAAUUCCCACCAUCAGCUUAAAAAAAAUCCAGAAUAUUAGGGAGCACUCAUUUUAUACAUACAAUUAUACAUGCAUUAAUUAAGAAAUCAAAAAACAAGAGGUUUGCAAAAAUCACUGUAGUUGCAAUUUCAUUAAACCUUGGGGGAAAUUUAUUAAUGCAAACAGGUGCUAAUCAAGGGUAAAGGGUAAAUAUUGACCAUUCACCAUGAAAAGCAGAAAAAUAUCUUUCAACAAUUAGUAAUUUGCAUUCAAAAUAGAGCCUGUUUUGUCUUCAUAAGUGUCCCACGGUGUGUCUUUAUUACUAUAAAAACAUUUUAACUAUAGUUUUGUUAAAUAGGAUAAUGGAAACAUUUUGGUGUAUACUCAUACCACUGAGAACUUCUUUCUUGAAAGGGUAAUUAUUUUACUGAGUUUAAUUCCUUUAUACCAACACAAGCAGGCGUCUGUAAUUCCAGGUGUAAUCUCAGGUACGUAUGACUGUAACAAGGUGUCCAGUCCUUAUUUUGGCAUUACAAAUAAGACACAUUGCAUGUUCUAAAUAACAUAUGUUAUUAUUAUUUAUAAAGUGCCAACAAAUUCCACAGCGCUGUACAAUGGGUAGAUUAACAGACACGUAAUUAUAACCAGCCGAGUUGGACGCACAGGAACAGAGCCCUGCUCAAUGAGCUUACAUGCUAGAGGUAGUGGAGUAUAGUGACACAAAAGGUUUGGGUAGGAUAGAAAAGUAGGAUGCUGGAAUAGUAUUCACUGAGGGGUUAGUGGCUCAUUUAAAAAAAAAUUAUAAUUUACUUAUUUCUUUUAUGACAGUUGCAGAAGAGGAAUCAGGAUGCUCGGAGAGAAAGCUGUUAACAGUUUAACUAAUAUGCUUUCCUGAAAAAGUGAGUUUUCAAUUAUUUUUUUUAAUGGAAUGGAGACUGAGUGAAAGUCUAACGGAGAAGGGAAGGAAGUUCCACAGGAACAGUGCAUCCCUAGAUAAGUCUUGAAGGCGAGCAUUAGAGGAGAGAGUACCGACAGAGGAUACAUAUAGUUCAACAUCAGAGUGUAGGGGCCUAGACGCCUUAUAUUUGUGUAUUAGAGAGGAUAGGUAGGUUAGAGCAGCAAUAUAUAGAGAUUUAUAAGCAAGCACCAGAAUCUUAAAUUGUUCCCUAUACCUUAUGACCGAGGGACUGGCAAGGGGCAUGGGACUCUAGGGAUUGAUAGAGGGGGGAGGCGUGGGAGGUGUGGGCAGACUGGAAGAUGCUGCCACAUUUAUUAUAGACUGUAACAGGAAAAGUUGGGAACUAGUAAGACCACUGAGAAGUAGUCAAGGCUAGAGAGGACAAUGGCAUGGACAUUAAAUAAGGACGCAUGCGCGCUUUGAUUUUUAGAUGGACAUAAGGGGUGAUUUGAUUUUUAGACUGUACAUAAGGGGUGAAGGAGAGGUCGGAGUCAAAGAGAACACCUAGUCAGUGAGCCAGCAAGGUAGAGCUGAUGAUAGUGCUGUUGACUUGGAGUGAGACAGACACUGGAGUAGCAACACUUGAUGGAGGAAAGACCAGAAGUUCUGCUUUGAACAGGUUGUUUUUAAGGAAGUGAGCAUCCAUCCAGUUGGAAAUUGCAGAGAGGCAGUCAGAGUCAAGAUUUGCUGAGAGAGAUCAGGAGAGGACAGAUAGAUUUGCACGUCAUCUGCAUAGAAAUGAUAUUGGAAGCCAAAAGUGCUGAUGAGUUUACCAAGGGAGGCAGUAUAGAUCGAGAAAUUUAUUGGACUAAGGACAGAACCUUGGGGAACAUCAACAUUGAGGGGUUGAGGAGAAGAGGCAGAGACAGAAACACUAAAAGAGCACUGGGAGGGGUAGGAGGAACACCAGGAGAGAGCAGUAUCAGACUGAGAUUACAGAGGAUGGGAAGAAGCUGUUGAUGAUCAACAGUGUCAAAUGCAGGAGAAAGGCCAAGGACAAUUAGGAUAGAAAAGUGACCACAAAAUUUAGCAGUGAUUAGAUCAUUGAAUACUUUGGUCACAGCUGUUUUGACAAAGUGACGAGCUCGGAAUCCAAAUGAAAGCAGGUCAAGCAGAGAGUUAGAUUUGAGGAAGUCUGUCAAUCUUUCAUGCACAACUCUCUCAAGGCAAACAGCAGUAACAAGAGAGGGCAGUAAUUGGAUGGGGAGUUAGAGUCAAGGUUGGGAUUUUUCGGUAUCAGAUUUAGAGUUGCAUGUUAUUAAAUCACUAUAAAUAAGCUAUAAAAUAAAAUACCCGUAUUUUCCGGCGUAUAAGACGACUGGGCGUAUAAGACGACCCCUAACUUUUCCAGUUAAAAUAUAGAAUUUGGGAUAUACUCGCCAUAUAAGACUACCCCUCUUCCAAUGCACACCAAAUAAAAAUUAGCCAUUAUGUACAGUGAGCAGACAGAGCUACACAGCAAGACAUUAAAUAAUGAUAAUCUGAAAUAGCAUUUAAAGCCCAGGUAUGUGCCAGGCUGUUUGGGCAUAUAAUCCAUGCCUGCUGGUCUAGCACACAGGAGGCCAAUUGCGAUAUAUUAUUUUUACUCCCCCCCCCCCAAUCCUCCCUACAUUCUUACCUCCCCUUCCCUGUGCACUUCCUUUCAGUCCGGCCGGGAACAGGUAACUGAAUCUCCUUUUCCCACGCGGUACCUGGCUGGACCGACAGGACGAAGAGGAGCUCUGCCACCCACUCUGCACAGGGAAGGGAAGGGGAGGUGAGAAGAGAGGCAGUGCGGCAGCCGUCUGAGCGCUCUCUAUAGAGCGCUCAGGCGGCUGCAGCAUUAGAAGGGCCGGCGAUGGGGGCGCAGGGCGCCCCCGGCAGCCAUAUAGACCCUAUACCUGGCGUAUAAGACGACCCCCGAAUAUGGAGAAGAUUUUCCAGGGUUAAAAAGUCAUCUUAUACGCCAGAAAAUACAGUAGUUAUUCUCUCAUUUUCUGAGUUGGAUAAUGACGCUGCGAGAGAUGGAGUUACAUGUCUGGCAGCACAUGUAUCCAAGGCCAACAUAUAAAAAUGCAUAACUGGGUUUAAGAAUCACCAAAUCUGAGCCCAAAGCGAUGGAAAACAUUAUUUUGUCUCAUGAGUCAUCUUCCUAACCAUGUUCUACAUCUGGAUGGGUUUUCAUUUAAAGGAAGCAGGGGAGGGCUGGCAACAUAUGGUCUGUGCGGUAAGUAGAAAGUACUGGACUUUUUUUCUCACAAAACUCUCUGUUGAGGAUCCUACAGACAUGGAGCGCACAAUAUACGAAUUUGACAAAUUGCGACUAAUGGAGUUUCGUGGUGUGCCAUCUUAUAUCCCUACAACUUCUAUAGGCAUGAUCUGAGAAGCCAAAUUGGUCUGUGCAUGGCAAAAAUGCACAAAACUGUUUCCCACAACUCAAUUCCCACCAGUGAAAACCAGAGAUGUAAAUAGCAUUGUCUCCUCCCCUAAGGCCAUUUGUGAUUCCUGGGUAAUCACACUUACUAAUUCAACUGGCAGCCUGCUUGUCCCCAAAUACUCACAAGAAAUUUUUCACUGGGUUAGGCUAUGAAUGGAAAAGAACGAGAUUGUUUGUAACCAGUUAAAGAACAAACACACUGUGCUGGAAUAAUAAAGAGCCUGCACAAUUCCUGCCUGUUGCCUCACUCGUAUAGUAAUAAUGAUAAUUGGCAAUUUUUAUAUCAAUUUUCUCCCUGUGAAACUCAAAUUACUUGGCAAAUUUCAUAAAACAAACAAAAAAGUAAAGAGUUUGUAAUAGUCAGAUGAGCUGACCGAACGUCUGAGAAAAGUGUUGGGUCAUUUUUUAAAGUCCGUAAGGUUGGUGCCUCUCUUGUAAUGAGUUCUAGAAUGUGGGGGGGAGCAUGGCUGCUGCAUUUUGUACUGUAGGCGAUUGAGUUAUUUUUCUGGGAGGCCCAGAGUAGAGUACAUUACACUAAUUUAGACAAUAAUAGUAUUCUGCCAGCAAUCAUCCCAACAAAACUCCCACUAUUUUAUUCUGUAAAAGAAUGGUGAAAGGCUGUAGCCCACAACCACUGUAUGGUAUGGGCUAAGGGGGCUAUUAUCUUUCAUAUACUUUCAUAUUCCAGGGUCAUAAUGGUGGUCAUUAUUGUACUAAUUGGAGACUGGUUUCAUGAACUUUAAUAUGAUGUUAAACACUUUCUAUAUAAACUAUCAAACUUUUAUAAGAAAUCCUGAAGCAAACAAUGGAAAAGAGAAAUAUUUAAAAAAAUAUAAAUGUAUCUAACCAGGAAAGCACAUUUAGUUUUUCCUGGACAAUCCAUGGCAGCAUCAUUAAUGAGUAGCUCCUACCCUCUCGGCUAACUGGAGAGGAAGUAAAAAUAAAAGCAUAUAUCUCACCUAAUCCUCAAUUUGUUUUAUGUCCUUUUUGCUACUGGACAAUUCUUUAGCUUAAAUAUAUAGAUAUUCCCAGUAAUUUUUAAGUUUUCCUCAUCUUUGUAUUUUAAUUAUUUAUUAAUAUUAUUUAUUUAUUUUUAACUUAAAGUAGUUGAGCUUAGCUACAAAUGUAAGUGUUUCCCUGGGGAGUUUGAAAUCUCCACCAGGAAGUCCCCAGUUUGAAACACCUUGUAAGGGAAGCAUCCUGGGAAAAGAAUCAGGUUGAAGAUAUAUCUUUACCUAUGGGUCAGUAUAUGAUAAGACUUUUUUAAGCCUUGAUCCUGCUGAAAUUGGUAUGCUGCCUGUGGCAUUUAGAAAAUUGUUCCGUUCAUGUCUGCGCCUUCUGUGUUCCCCCUUUGCUACAAUAGCCACAGUGAAGAAUCAACCAAUUCCAUAUGCCUUCUGCAGAAGAUGCCACCCUCACUCUGGCAAAGGGAAUAGAUGCCCUGACCAUGAAGUGGACAUCUUUUCCUUUAAUUUGGCAUAUCUUCAAUAAAGUCAGAAAGUAACAGGCAGAAGUAAUUGCAAUAAUAAUUCUUUUGUCUGAAGAGGACAUGUUUUUUCUAUACUUGGAGGAUUCCCCAUCGGCAAAUGUCUUGAGUCAUAGGGUUCCAUUUUUAAUUAGUCUGAAGUCAGGCUCAAUUUAAUGGCUUGAAAGUUAAUCUUUAAAAGAUUUAGGUGUGACAGACAGCCCAGUCACCCAGGAAUGGUACAUGUCUCCCAACCACCAUCUCCCUUUAAAAGAGCUAUUUUCGGGGGGGCGUGGCUAACUGAGCAACGAGCAAGACGUGCUUGAAAGGAGCUCUGCACCAGAGACCCAAAUACCAGGAGAUUAACCUACCUAAAUGGCUCCCAUGAGCACGGAUACACCCACCCCUCAACAGCUGACACGAUGGGGCGAAAUUUUUUUAAAAAAACACGCACCAGAGAUUCAUAAAAUGCCUGAUAUCAGGCUUUCGUUUGACAGGCGCGAGGCCUCCAAGAUGGCGCCGGCAAAGCAAAGCAAGGAUGAGACAUCUCAAGAUGCGGAGCAGCCCAGGGGGAACAGCCCUGCGAGCGGCACGAACAGCGAGUUCCAAAAGGGACAUUAAAUGCCUUCUUACUGAAAUGAGGUAAAUAUGGAAGGAGGACCUGCGGCCGACACAGGCAGAAAUAGGCACCCUGGGUAACAGACUCAUGGCAGUAGAGUCCAAGGACGGAGAGAGGGAGACACAGCUGCGGACCGCCCAGAAGGAGAUCCAAGGCCUGGCCCAACAGGUCCAAAACCUAACCAAGAGGGUCACAGUGCUAGAGUCAAGGCACAGGAGGAAAAAUAUCCACAUCAGAGGAGUACCAGAAUGGAUCUCAGGGGAUGACCUCCUGCCCUUCCUACACCGUAUGCUGACCCACAUGAGAGCCAAAAAUGGAGUUGCCUCAGAGAUGGUGGCGACCACAUUCCAGAUCCAAAAAGCUACCGUGGCCCCAGCGGAGGUGCCCAGAGACAUCAUUGCUGUAACCAAGAACAUUGCAGCCAGAUCUGCCAUUAUGUCUUGCUCGAGAGAGCUAAAAAAUGUGAACUUUGAGGGCUGCAUGGUAGCUAUACACGGGGAUCUCCCAUUCGCUGUAAUAGUGGCGAAAAGGCAGCUAGGCCCAGUUGCUGGUAGUCUGCGGGAGGCAGGGGUUAGGUAUAGGUGGGGGGCGGACAGACCAUUGAUUACACAGAGAGGGGAGGAAACACUAACCUUACCCCCUGAUGGUGAACAUUCCUCCAGCGCCUACUAGAAACAGACACAAUCCCGAAAAGGGCCCCUAAGGCCAAGUCCAAUGCCCACCGGUGACUCGCAGACCUGCCAUACACAUAGUCGGGACACAGACCACCAGGCCAGCAGACAGCCGACCGACACAAAGGCCCACGAGCAAGUAAGAGAGAGCCUGCACUAGCACUACAUGAGCAAGUUAACUCAGUGGGACACAUGUAAAUAGUUCUGUGCACUUAUUUCAGCCACCUUAACCGUAACUGGGAACUCAAAACCGCCAAAGUAUAGAAAGAUAACACCCCGCAAUAGUUCACACGGAUAGACAGGACAACUUGACAGAGGUCCCCACGUUAAACUUAUCCCUAUACUGUACAAUAUCGAGAUGAACAGAAUUCUUUGUCCUAAAUACACAGUUGAUGUUGAUGUAUCAUAGAUGGACCAAUGUUGUUAAUUUUCACAAUAUGAUACAGUCGUGUUUCUAUGUAUGGAAAUUCAAUAAAAUACGAAUUGAAAAAAAAAGAGCUAUUUUCACCUGGAUUUCCCCUGCAGUCCAUGCCUUGCAGCUCAGUGCCCUUUCCAGUGGCCCCAGAAGCAUCAUAGACCCGCAGGAAGGUUGCAGAGGCAUGGUCUAUGACCAGGAGCAGCCACCAACCUCUCUAGAACUCUUGAGCAGAUGGCAGAAGAGCUAUGGUCUGGUAAACUUUAUCAAGGGCACCUAUAAGAACAUUAUUUAGAGGGGUGAUAGACGCGGUGGUGAUGCAAUAAAUGGUACCCAGGACUUAAGGGAGCUUCAUGUUCCUACUGAAAGCACGAUCAUUUAAGGUGACCGAGGUUUUCCACAAAACCGUACUUCCAGCUAACUCGGGCCAGCCACCUCCAAUUCAAGUGCUUUUUGGAUAGAUUGGGGGCACAGAAGACAGAUUUUCAAGGACACCAUUUGUUUGGGGAUGUAGACACAUGAACCUAGUUAUUUUGUGUGUAAUGUUAACCCCUGAAGUGCCUGGCUUCUAAUUAAAUUGUCCAUCCAGGUAUGGACACCAAGAUGUCAGGAAUGUUGCAAUAUUAUUAUUCUCCUGGGGACCUUUUGUUGAGGCCCCAGGUAUAUAAGUGUGACAAUUACGCCAAUACAUCAGUUCUACUUCACCCUAAGUCUUGGUUAGUGCUUGAGGUGAAGCUAUGAUCCUCUGCUAUGCUCUUUGGGCUAUUAUCAAUGAGCAAAAGGGAGUCCUUGACGAAGACACUCAGUUCCCUUGUGAGUAGAUUGAUACAUUAGGGAUAUCAUUGGCAGUAGUAGCAUCAGGGGCUACUAUUAUUAUUAUUAUUAUUAUUAUUAUGAUAUUUAUAGAGCGCCGUCAAAUUCUGCAGCGCUUUACAAUGGGUGGACGAACAAACAUGUAGUUGUAACCAGACAAGUUGGACACACAGGAACAGAGGGGUUAAGGGCCCUGCUAAAUGAGCUUACAUGCUAGAGGGAGUGGGGUAAAAUGACACAAAAAGGUAAGGCUAGUAUCAGACUAAUGACAGUUGCAGAAGAGGAAUCAGUCAGGAGCUAUUAACAGUUUAAUUGAUACGCUUUUAUGAAGAAGUGGGUUUUUAACGAUUUUUUGAAGGCUAUCAGGGUAUAUUACUUUUGUGGGGUUUCCAUGGGUUUUGGGGGUACUUUCAGGAGGUUGUUAAAUGUUUGUUUUCUGUGCCUGGAGAUAAUUGAGUUUAAUAGAGUUCCUGACUCAAUUAUCUCUCAGGCACAGCGGAAGGAUUAACCUAUUUUGUAUGGGAGUAUCCUGGACCUGAGAGCCAAUAUAAUUGUGUGUAUGUUUUUACUGUAGUCUAUUCUCAGGUCCAGUGGGGAGUGCCCCUUGCAUGAGGACCUGCAUAUGAGGCCAGUUGUGGCAGCCAAUAAAAAGGGUUCCUCUUCACCCUCAAUAUAGAGCCUCGUCUCAUUUGUGGAGGGAACAGCUAUAUUCACUCUGGGGAUUGCCAUACUCAUUAUACUCCCUUGGAUUAUAAUCACUAGCUCUUGCAAGAGCUAUCCUGCUAUACUCUCUGGGGAAGGAGAGGUCUACCCACUGGAAGCUGGAUCCCGGUCUUGGGUCCAGGGUGGGUGGAGGACACCGAGACCCCAACCAAGCUGUAACACUGGCUGCAGGGUUUACGGUGGUUAUGGUGUCUGAUGGAGUGCUUGGAGUACUCGGUGAGCACUAAGAAGAAUGCGGAGUGCCAGGUGGUCCACCCCAGAGGCCAUUUUAGCAACUGGGCAGCAAGCAUUGCCCAGUGGAAAUGAGCCCCCGACCUGCCUCAUAGCAAGUGUGGGUAUUAUUAACACCCAGGGUGUUAUAUUUAUUUAUUUUAAACUUUUUAAUGUGGUUGCUCGCUAGCAAGCUUGGUCCAACCACAACAUAUUUAGCACUCACACUGCCAAGGAUAAUUUAACUAUUUGCUAAUAGUUAAAUAGUUUGGCAAAUAGUUCUGAUUUUUUUAAAUCUUGGCCUGGAUUUAAAACAUUAGACUCUGGAUUUCAGCCAUCCGGUGGCGAUCAGUCUGGCUAAAAAUCUGGACCAAACUCAGGUCCAUUCGUUUCCUGAAUAGCAAAAUCUAGACAUUGUUAAGUAGCCCCAUAUGUAACCUGAUGAUUUUUUCCCCUUUCAGUACAGGUUCAUUCAGACUUUAUUUAGGAACAAGAAGUAGGGAAAUAUGUGACCAUGUGAUUCAAACUAAAGAAGUGACAUACUUCUAUGAUUCACCAUGUGUCUAAGUCUGAGAUGACACAGAAUAAUUUUGUCUCCAUGUCCCCUCGUGUGAGAUUGCCAAUCUCUAAUAUCCAUGUGAUUUUGACAGACUGACAGCAGAGGAUUUCUGUAUGCUGCUGAAUCACUGAACUAUUUUCUUGUUGCUUUUUACUGCUUGGAGCAAUACUGGCUGGAAAUGUAUUUUAUGUGACUCACUACAUCCCUAACCUGAGCAUCCCUCCAGGUAGACACCUGCAUGUCCAGACCUAACAGAGAGACACUCCUGUGUCACUCCCUAACAUUUGUGAAUCUCCUUUUAUGUCUAUUAGGCAUUUUACAUAUAUGGAUAAUUGUUAAAUUCUAUAGAUUGUAUUCAAUUUUUUUAAAUUUCUUUUAAGCUAUUAGUAAAGAUCUCCAAAUAAGCUAGAGUCACAACUUAGAAUGGGAUAAAAUAUGAGAUUUAGUGUAGAUAGGUAGCUUGGACAACUUAAACCAGAGUCUCUUCUUUCUGGCCAUCAAUAGAUACUGUAUGAAAGGGGAAAAGGGAAGCACCACCUUAUGGAUGUCCUCAGAUUCGAGUCAGAGUGGAUCAAUAUAAAAAAUAAGAAGGAAAUGGAAUAUGGUGUAGUAUUUUGAUACUAUUGUUGAAAUAAAUAAAAGAAAUGCAAUUACAAUUUUUUGGAGCUUAUAAUUAGCUCUAAAUAUAUGUGCCUGGGCAGUACAAUUUCAACCUGUGGAUAUGCUUUAUGUCAUAUCAGGUAGAGCCAGUAGAUGGCUUUUGGUGACAGAUGUAUAUAGGUGCACUUGGGCAUUUGGGAGUGCCCACUUAUAUGCGCAGAAAUGUAGCAGCAGAAGUUCACCAAUCAAGUAUAUAUAUGAAAUAGAAAUGAAACAGAAUGGACUGAGGUUUUACACAAUCCACAUAGCAUUCGUAGUAUUUUUUCCAAAAAGACAUUCAAUGUGAGCAUAGUCUUCUGGGUAAAAUCAGGAAGGUCCAAUAUUGGUAAAAAAAAAAAAAAAAAAAAAAGCAUUAGUUUUAUGGAGAAUAAAAUAUAAAACUAUAAAAGGGGUAACACACUAACACAUUUCACCUUAAAUACAGGCUUUUUCAAAGUCUUUAUUUUAAUCUUUAAAAAGCCUGCAUUUAAGGUCGCUGCUGGACAAUAACAUGUAUUUAAUCACAGUGAAUAUUGUAGAUAAAACAGUGCCAUACACAAUGCCUAACACUUUCAAACCAGAACACUUGGGUCAGUAAAAUGUAACAUAUGGGACAUGCAAACAACAGAUGAAAUAGUGUUACCAAAUGUAAGUUCAUAACUUCCAGACACUAGGCUGGAACAAGUCAUGAAAUUCCAGGCAGUGCCGACUAAUAAUCUUGUUUUACUUAAGAUACCAAUUUAAACUCAGCAUAGAGUAAAAUCUAAUUACGCUUGAGAAAGGCUUGUCAUUGCCAAAUUAUUCUUGAGAAAGGCUUAUCAUAUUCAUUAUGGUAUACAACAUAGAUCAAUUGGAUUUAUGCAUUUGCUAUUGUGGUUUGUAUAUAGUUGGGUGUAGAUAGAUCUAUCAUUUGUGUAUAUAUGUCUAAUGAAUUUCUUUUAUUCUGUACAUUUUUAUUGUCAUGUAAUCAAGUAUAUUAUUUGUAUAGCCAUGAUCAGGUGUGCAGUUGAUUUAUAUAUAUACUAAUGCCAACUAAUAACACAGUAUUACCAUGUUAUCAGGAAAGGAGGGAAACGUAGAUUUCUCACUGGAUCCUGUCCUAUGACAUACUGACAAUGCCUGGCCAACCAUGGACCUCCUUAGGUAACACGCCUAACCUGCUUCCAUUUUGAGCAUUGG